rnacentral:lncRNA from 1 species
CGAGGGCUAAGCGCACAGUUGGGCGCAGGAGAGGAUGCUCGUGGGACCGUGGCGCGGGGUCGACGUUGACCCCUUCAGCCUCGCGCCCCGCGCUGUCCCUGCCUGGCGGAGGCCGGACUGUGGGGGUAGCGUCUGAAGCCUGCGCGACUGCGGCCUGUGUUUAUCAAUCUGGGACACACGGCUCUGAUGGAAGAGAGAACCAAACUUACAUCAGACACUUGACCCCUUGGCCCGGAGCCAAACCAGAUCAGCCGGGCGAGCCUCCCCCAGGGCAGGCUUGUACAUGACAGAUGACACUUGCCAGAGAAGUCAGGCCAUGCCACCCCCUGGGAGCCUGAAAGACACAAAAUCAAGGCAGUUCCAUCAAGCACUUCGAGAGUGGAGCAGGUGGCAAGCCUUUCAAUCACCUUUACUGAGGUGAGGUGAGAAAAA